UACGGAGGGUGCAAGCGUUAUCCGGAUUCACUGGGUUUAAAGGGUGCGUAGGUGGGCAGGUAAGUCAGUGGUGAAAUCUCCGGGCUUAACCCGGAAACUGCCAUUGAUACUAUCUGUCUUGAAUACCGUGGAGGUGAGCGGAAUAUGUCAUGUAGCGGUGAAAUGCUUAGAUAUGACAUAGAACACCAAUUGCGAAGGCAGCUCACUAACACGAAUAUUGACACUGAGGCA
rnacentral:rRNA from 1 species